GAAAAAAUAACUGUUUCUAGACCUGCUAAGAGUUUAUAUGACAAUACAGUAGGCUACCUGUAUCAUGCGUAUUUCAAUGAUUCUUUUAAAAAAUCCGUUUUUAAAACCUAUUUUUUGGAUUUGGUUUUGAGGUGUCGUUCAAUCCUGAGUGAGGCAGGAGUCAGGUGUUAUAACGUGAAGCUUUAUAUGCAACCUAAAGCAUGCUAUAUAAUGCAAAACCUAUAACGAGAAAAAAAGAAAAGAUUGAUUAUUUAUUGAUUGAUACACUAAGUACAUUAUCAAAAUGAUAGAAGAAAAAAUAAGUCAACCUUGUGCUAUUCCUCUCCCAGAUUAGGUAAGGUUAGACACAUAGUCCAAAAUAGGUUAAGUCUUGUAGUUGUUCACUACAAGAUAAUAGGUAACUUAGAUGAUAGGUAGCCUAACGUGUAUUAUUCAAUAUUCUGACCAACUUUAUACUCCUCCAUCAACUCCUAAAAUGCAAUAGGCUACUUGUCCUAUUUCAAUAAACUCUAUUGAAAAAA